CCCGAAAGCUGCGGCGGCCGGCGCGGUGGCGUGAGGGGGCCCGGCCGCACCGCGGCCUAGUCCCGGAACCCGGCGGCAAGAGGAAUGGCUGCCGUGGGGCAGCUCCUUCGUCUUUACCGUAGCUACUUCUCCUAGCGGCCCCCGGCCUGGGCCCUGCAGGCAGGAGAAGGGGGAGCCGAGGGCCUCGGACCAGCUCUGGUUGCAGCAGUCUCCAGGCAGCUGUAAUAGGCUGCACCUCAAAGGGCGUGAGAGGACAUUUCAGUGCACUGUGGGGAGAGACUGCAAGGUCAUCAAAUUUUGCACAAACGGGAAGUACCCUCCUGUGCUACCAGUUGAGGAUUAUGGAGGAUGCGUCAGUGCGUGCUGACUGCACUAUGUGCUGCCCAGAGAACAGUUGUAGACAGGGUACAGAAACUGUGCCUGUUUGGAGAAAAUUACAUCUACAUCAAACCUUCCACCAAUAUCUAUAGCUAUAGUGCUCCUUUUUUUGCACCAGAAGUUGGCAGUCAGCCUGAAGUUACCCCAACUGAAGAAAGAACUGAUGAAAGAAUGGUUCAGAAUCAAAAUAAUUCUUUUAAGAAAGCAGAUAUCAGAUCUCAAAACAGUAAAGGUAACAUUUCAAGGAAGGGAUGGAGGGUUAUAUCUUUGGGGGGGGGGGGGGUAAGUAUUUCAGCCUAACAGGAGAAAUACAUCACAAGGAAAUCACUGCUAUUUCUCCUCUUCCUGUCACUGCAUUAUCUGGAACAUUUGGCUAUUUAUUGCUCUCAGGUGCCUCCUGUGACAUUACAGUAGCAUCAGAAGUACAUACACAGUGUGCUGUUCUGUAAGUUCCUUUACUUCAUAAAUAAAAGAAAGGUCCAUCCUGGCCAGAGCAUUUA